AAAGGGGUGAGUAAGUAUCUAGAGUGUGCCCAGUCGUGGGGGAUAACGGCUCCAACGAGUAGCUAAUACCGCAUACAAUCUGAGGAUGAAAACGGGGGACCGGGGGGCCUCGGGCGAUUGGGGCGGCAGAUGGCCCAAUAGGUAAUUGGUGGGAUAGAGGCUUACCAACCCCACGAUCUGUAGCUGGUCUGAGAGGACGACCAGCCACACUGGGACUGAGACACGGACCAGACUCCUACAGGAGGCAGCGGUGGGGAAUUGGGGACUAUGGGCGAAAGCCCGAUCCAGCAAUGCCGCGUGCACGAGUAAGGCCUUCGGGUUGUAAACUGCUUUUGUACUGAACGAAAAAGCUUCUGCUAAUACGAGAGGCCCCUGACGGUACCGUAAGACUAAGAACCGGCUAACUACGUGCCAGCGUCCGCGGUAAUACGUAAGGUGCGAGCGUUAAUCUGAAUUACUGGGCGUAAGGCGUGAGCACGCGGUUAUGUAAUACAGAUGUGAAAUCGCCAGGCCCAGCCUGGGAACUGCAUUUGUGACUGCAUGGCUGGAGUACUGUACAGGGGGAUGGGAUUCCAAGUGUCCGAGUGAAAUGCGUAUAUGUGCAGAGGAACACCGAUAUCGCUGGCGAUCGCGUGGACCUGUACUGCCACUCAGGCACUAAAGCGUGAGGAGGUGAGGGAUUACAUGCUCAGAUACUCCACGUCCCCAACUCAUGUCAACUGGGUAGUUGGGAAUGAUGUUUCUCAGGAACGUAGUCUACCACGUGAAAUUUACAGACUGGGGAGUAUGGAAGUAGGUUCACAGUUUAUACACUUGAAUAGUACACGCGCACCCCACAGGACGCAGUGGUUUAAUUUUUAUUUCUCUCCUAAAACCUUACACUACUUCAACAUUGUAUGACACUUACCACAGUAGGAAUCGAUGUUCGUAUGAACCCUGAAACAAGC
rnacentral:rRNA from 1 species